rnacentral:rRNA from 1 species
UAGGGAAUCUUCCACAAUGGACGCAAGUCUGAUGGAGCAACGCCGCGUGAGUGAAGAAGGUUUUCGGAUCGUAAAGCUCUGUUGUUGGUGAAGAAGGAUAGAGGCAGUAACUGGUCUUUAUUUGACGGUAAUCAACCAGAAAGUCACGGCUAACUACGUGCCAGCAGCCGCGGUAAUACGUAGGUGGCAAGCGUUGUCCGGAUUUAUUGGGCGUAAAGCGAGCGCAGGCGGAAUGAUAAGUCUGAUGUGAAAGCCCACGGCUCAACCGUGGAACUGCAUCGGAAACUGUCAUUCUUGAGUGCAGAAGAGGAGAGUGGAAUUCCAUGUGUAGCGGUGUAAUGCGUAGAUAUAUGGAAGAACACCAGUGGCGAAGGCGGCUCUCUGGUCUGCAACUGACGCUGAGGCUCGAAAGCAUGGGUAGCGAACAGG